CAGCAGCCGCGGGAACACAGAGGGUGCGAGCGUUAAUCGGAUUUACUGGGCGUAAAGCGUGCGUAGGCGGCUUUUUAAGUCGGAUGUGAAAUCCCUGAGCUUAACUUAGGAAUUGCAUUCGAUACUGGGAAGCUAGAGUAUGGGAGAGGAUGGUAGAAUUCCAGGUGUAGCGGUGAAAUGCGUAGAGAUCUGGAGGAAUACCGAUGGCGAAGGCAGCCAUCUGGCCUAAUACUGACGCUGAGGUACGAAAGCAUGGGGAGCAAACAGGAUUAGAUACCCCAGUAGUCCCUGUCUCUUAUAC
rnacentral:rRNA from 1 species